rnacentral:lncRNA from 1 species
UUUUUUUUUUUUUUUUUUUUUAUGAUAGUCACACACAGAGAGAGAGAGAGAGAGGCAGAGACACAGGCAGAGGGAGAAGCAGGCUCCAUGCACCGGGAGCCCGACAUGGGAUUCGAUCCCAGGUCUCCAGGAUCGCGCCCUGGGCCAAAGGCAGGCGCUAAACCACUGCGCCACCCAGGGAUCCCUACUUUUGGCUUUUUAAUUUAAAUUUUAAAAUAUUAUGAGAAAAAUAGUUUCAUAAAAUGAAAAAUUAAAUGUACACAUGGGAUAGAUUAAAAAUAGAAAAUAUGUGUCAGUUUAUUAAACUCUUAUUUCAGCUACUUACAUAGUCGUAUAUGUGUAUGUGCUGGGACAUAACACACACUAUGUUUCCUGCUGUGGAAGGAUCCAGCAUAUUAAAAAGCCAUUUUUCUUAAUACCGCAGUAAACUGAGCAACAGAAGGUCUACGCAGCCAGCUGAAAAGGCCAAUACCAAACCACCACCCUUUCUGUCCUGCAGACCCGUGGUAACUCCUCAAGGCCAGGCUGUAAUCACUGUUUGAUGGGUUCGUACUUUGUUGCCUUGUCUUUUCAGAUGUACAGCCUGGCAACAUUCCUUGUUUACAAGGAACUUCCCCCAUUUCUUGUAACUACUUGCAAGGCUGGGGAUUCUGGUGGUGGUUGCCCUGGUAUGCACAGCUCUGUCAUCAGUGUAGGAGCUGUCCCAUCUUUCAAAUCUUUAUUCUAACUCAAUUUAGAACAACUGUCCUCAGCAACAGUAUGGGGAUCCUAUUGCCCUUGCCUGUUCUAUCAUUUCCAGACUAGCAGAGCAAUGUCAGGAUGCGUCUGUAGACAAAUAAAUCUCACCCUGUAAUUUUCCUAGAAGUAUAUGGCUUAUUUUAACUAUACUAUGUAGAAGGAAUUUAUAUUCAUUUAAUGCAAUGCAUAAGCAAUUAUACUAUCCUGUAACAGUAAAUCUGUUAAUUAUUCUGUAACAACUGCCAAACAUCACUUCUUUUCUAGAUAAGUUUUUGAAAUUAAAAAACGACCACUUGAGGGGCCACUGGGUGGCUCUGCCUUCAGCUCAGGUCAUGAUCUCAGGGUCCUGGGAUGAACGCUGCUUCCAGGCUCCCUGCUCAGUGGGGAGUCUGCUUCUCCCUCUCCCUCAGUCUCUCCCCCUGCUUAUGCUCAUGCGCACUCACGUGCACUGUCUCGCUCUCUCUCAAAUAAAUAAAAUCAUUUCAAAAAAUACCCUGGUACAUAAUUGGAAUUCGAUUUUUCUCUCUG